rnacentral:rRNA from 1 species
GAUGAACGCUAGCUACAGGCUUAACACAUGCAAGUCGCGGGGCAGCAUGGGGGUUGCUUGCAAUCCCCGAUGGCGACCGGCGCACGGGUGAGUAACGCGUAUCCAACCUGCCCUUCACCACGGGAUAACCCGGCGAAAGUCGGACUAAUACCGUAUGUUGUCCAUUGACGGCAUCCGAUUUGGACGAAAGGCUUGGCGGUGAGGGAUGGGGAUGCGUCCGAUUAGCCAGACGGCGGGGUAACGGCCCACCGUGGCUACGAUCGGUAGGGGUUCUGAGAGGAAGGUCCCCCACACUGGAACUGAGACACGGUCCAGACUCCUACGGGAGGCAGCAGUGAGGAAUAUUGGUCAAUGGGCGUAAGCCUGAACCAGCCAAGUAGCGUGCAGGAUGACGGCCCUAUGGGUUGUAAACUGCUUUUAUGCGGGGAUAAAGUGGCCCACGUGUGGGCUUUUGCAGGUACCGCAUGAAUAAAGACCGGCUAAUUCCGU